rnacentral:rRNA from 1 species
GAUGAACGCUGGCGGCGUGCCUAAUACAUGCAAGUCGAGCGAACGGACGAGAAGCUUGCUUUUCUGAUGUUAGCGGCGGACGGGUGAGUAACACGUGGAUAACCUACCUAUAAGACUGGGAUAACUUCGGGAAACCGGAGCUAAUACCGGAUAAUAUUUUGAACCGCAUGGUUCAAAAGUGAAAGACGGUCUUGCUGUCACUUAUAGAUGGAUCCGCGCUGCAUUAGCUAGUCGGUAAGGUAACGGCUUACCAAGGCAACGAUGCAUAGCCGACCUGAGAGGGUGAUCGGCCACACUGGAACUGAGACACGGUCCAGACUCCUACGGGAGGCAGCAGUAGGGAAUCUUCCGCAAUGGGCGAAAGCCUGACGGAGCAACGCCGCGUGAGUGAUGAAGGUCUUCGGAUCGUAAAACUCUGUUAUUAGGGAAGAACAUAUGUGUAAGUAACUGUGCACAUCUUGACGGUACCUAAUCAGAAAGCCACGGCUAACUACGUG